AUAUAAACAUUUUUAGAGAAUUUUAGAGACUUACUGAUGGUCAGUUUAGUUCCUCCACCGAAAGUGUACCACAGUGCUUCAUUCUAGUGAAAGCGUCGUACAAAAACCUCCGUCACACUCAAAUGAACACAAACUCCAGCAGAGAAAGAGACGAACGACACUCACACACACUGAUAUGAGACUCAACAGCAGCUCUUCUCAACAUUAAAUAAUGAUUAUUGGACUGAAGUGACUUUCACAGAAACAGCCUCAUCAUCUCUAAAUGUCUCUUGAUGCAUGAAAACUAUUAAAUCUGAAUAAAUAAUAUAAUCAGAAAGACUCUGUACUGAUCAUCACACAUCUGAACUCAGGGUUUUUGCUCAGAGAGUCACUUUGCAUCGGCUCAUGCUUCAGCGCUCCGAGUGUUUAUAGCGUUCAGACUCAAACACUUUAUAACACACUGCUGUUUACCACGGUACAAACCCAACAAACACCAUGAAUCUCUUCAGCAGCUUCAUCUGGAUUCUGGCAGCUUUUAUUCCAGCAUCCAGAGGAAUCACUGUGACUCAGCCUGAAGCUGUGACUGUUUCUGAAGGACAAAACGCCAAAAUAGAGUGUAAAACUGAUACUGGGAUAUAUAGCUGGUAUUUAGCUUGGUAUCAGCAGAAACAUGGAGAAGCUCCUAAACUCAUCAUUACUGGGGUAAAUGAUCUCUAUGAUGAGAGUUUAAGUCGAUUCAGUGGGAAUGGAGAAGAAGGUGGGACAGAUUUCUCUCUGACCAUCAGUGGAGUCCAGACUGAAGAUGCUGGACAUUAUUACUGUCAGAGUGUCCAUGAAAUCAACAGUGAUUAUGUGUUCACACAGUGAUAAAGAGUCGUACAAAA